AUUGAACGCUGGCGGCAUGCCUUACACAUGCAAGUCGAACGGUAACAGGUUAAGCUGACGAGUGGCGAACGGGUGAGUAAUGUAUCGGAACGUGCCCAGUCGUGGGGGAUAACUACUCGAAAGAGUGGCUAAUACCGCAUACGACCUGAGGGUGAAAGCGGGGGACCGUAAGGCCUCGCGCGAUUGGAGCGGCCGAUAUCAGAUUAGCUAGUUGGUGGGGUAAAAGCCCACCAAGGCGACGAUCUGUAGCUGGUCUGAGAGGACGACUAGCCACACUGGGACUGAGACACGGCCCAGACUCCUACGGGAGGCAGCAGUGGGGAAUUUUGGACAAUGGACGCAAGUCUGAUCCAGCCAUGCCGCGUGCGGGAAGAAGGCCUUCGGGUCGUAAACCGCUUUUGUCAGGGAAGAAACGAGUUUCUCUAAUACAGAGACUUAAUGACGGUACCUGAAGAAUAAGCACCGGCUAACUACGUGCCAGCAGCCGCAGUAAAAC
rnacentral:rRNA from 1 species